ensembl:snoRNA
CUCCAGUGAUGAUCCAGCCAUGCUAAUACUGAUGCACCAGCCAGAUGAACUCUGUCUGGGUGUAAGUGAGUGCAACUCACCUUCUCACACUGGUGCUGUCAGUGUGUGCUGAGGAGA